rnacentral:rRNA from 1 species
ACNNNGUCUGCUCGUACACGUGGACAUCUGCCCUGGAGAGGAGGAUAUCCCCGGGAAACUGGGAUUAAUACUCCAUAGUUCGUCUUAACUGGAAUGUUAUUCGAACGAAAGAUCCGUCGCUCCAGGAUGAGUCUGCGGCCGAUUAGGUAGUUGUUGGGGUAACGGCCCAACAAGCCUUUCAUCGGUACGGGUUGUGGGAGCAAGAGCCCGGAGAUGGAUUCUGAGACACGAAUCCAGGCCCUACGGGGCGCAGCAGGCGCGAAAACUUUACCAUGCGGGCAACCGUGAUAAGGAAACCCCGAGUGCCAGCACAGGCUGGCUGUCCGCCAGUUUAAAUAACUGGUGAAGAAAGGGCCGGGCAAGACCGGUGCCAGCCGCCGCGGUAAUACCGGCGGCUCGAGUGGUGGCCGCUAUUACUGGGCUUAAAGGGUCCGUAGCUUGAUAACUGGGUCCCUUGAGAAAUCCGCCAGCUUAACUGGCGGGCGUUCAGGGGAAACUUGUUUUCUAGGGACCGGGAGAGGUGAGGGGUACUGCCGGGGUAGGAGUGAAAUCCUGUAAUCCCGGUGGGACCACCUAUGGCGAAGGCAUCUCACCAGAACGGGUCCGACAGUGAGGGACGAAAGCUGGGGGAGCAAACCGGAUUAGAUACCCGGGUAGUCCCAGCUGUAAACUAUGUGCGUUAGGUGUGUCAGUGACCACGUGUCACUGAGGUGCCGAAGGGAAACCGUGAAACGCACCGCCUGGGGAGUACGGUCGCAAGGCUGAAACUUAAAGGAAUUGGCGGGGGAGCACCACAACGGGUGGAGCCUGCGGUUUAAUCGGACUCAACGCCGGGAAUCUCACCGGAUAAGACAGCUGAAUGAUAGUCGGGAUGAAGACUCUACUUGACUAGCUGAGAGGAGGUGCAUGGCCGUCGUCAGUUCGUACUGUGAAGCAUCCUGUUUAGUCAGGCAACGAGCGGAGACCCGA